CGGGUAUGAAGUCUGAAGCUACAUCCAAGCCUGCUGCCGCCGCCGCAUCGUGCUGGCUCCACGCCGCCUUGCUGUGCACGCCAGGCCGGCGCCCCGACGAGCUCGCGAGGGCACAUCGGCUGCCAAGCUAGGCCAUGACCCCAUCCCAAGGCCUCCGCCGCCACCCCGACGAGCGUGCCAGGCCGUGGCCCCAUCCAAGGCCACCGUCGCUGCCCUGAUGAGCGUGCCAGGCCGCGGCCCCAUCCCAAGGUCUCCAUCGCCGCCUCGAUGAGCGCGCCAGGCCGCGGCCCCAUCCCAAGCCUCCACCUCCGACCCGCCACGCUGCCAGAUAUCCGCCACGCUGCCAGUGUGCAAGGCGGUGGUAGAGCAGUGGCAAGGGCAGUUCUAUAGACAUCUUAGCAUCCCUUUAGCAAUAACCAUCUAGCAAUUUUGACAUCAUAUGCCAUUUUAAGGUAUGCUAACUGAACUUUGGUGCUAUAUGUGAUUGUGGAAUAUUGUCGUUCUGAUAUAAGCUCCACUCUGCUCAAUUUCUAAAAGUUGGUGUGACCGAGAAAGAUGAGAAACAUGGCUCUCACCAGUUUUCUAAUAUUUUUCUCCUGGAGGUUAUUGGAUCUGUCAUCCUAGUUAUAGCAGCAGGAGCAGGAAUUUUAUUUGCAGCUGAUUCUAAUUGGAUAAUACUGGUAGAGAUCAGAAUGCUUUAGCAAGUAGGAAAUAGUAGAGAUCAGAAUGCAGUCAAUUCAGGGGUCAUGGAAUUUGAGAUGGAGCACAUGCACUUGAGUAGGAGCGGAGCAAUCAGAUGGCCGAGCUAUGGACAAGGCUGCACUCACACAUGCUGGAGCUCUAUCCUUCUUACUGCUGUUAUUGUAUAUUGUACUCUAUACAUUUUAUCUCCUUGAUAUCAUUUUGAAAGCGUCUGAAAUCUUCAAAUGUCUUUGUGUGCCCUUUCUUGCUUCCGAAACUUGGCAAAAAGGAAUCCGGGAGCAUAACAGGCAGCGGGCCUCUAAUGUACUGAAUCGUAUAUAACUAUGCAAUGGAGCAAGGAUAAUUCUGGCCUUCUAGGUGCAGCUUGUUUGACUGCAUUUUUCACUGUAAAAGAAGAGUUGUGCAGGGUCAGAGAAUGGUGCACAUUUUUUCACUGUAAAAAAAGAGUUGUGCAAGGGCCUCAAGAUCCAGAUGGCUUCAUCAGCUUGGCUGGCUGUAGCUAAUUAGUAGGAACUCCUCUCACUUGUUACUGCUGCAGCUGUUGGUGGAGCUGUGUUGUACUGACUUCUAAGUCAUAUGUAACUGUGAAUUGAGGUGUGGUAGUGCUUAUUAGCAAAUGAAAGGAUUUGUACAGUGUGUUGUAAUGACUCAUGAGCAGCCAUGUAAUGUUCUCCAGGCUAUACGAAAUGUAAGCCUCAACAAUGUAUCAGUUCUAGCAGUAGCUUGCUGCUAGUAAUAAAAGUGUAAGAACAAGAGGAAUUAUUGUUCAGCUUAUAUAUUUCA